AUGCAAUUGAUGACAUGCAAUAACGAAGCACAAUAACUGACCAAACCGAGUAUUUCAUAUAGGAGAGGCAAGAGAGGAACUGUCAGUUAAGAAUCCUUCUAUGUUGAAAGAGAUGUAUCCAUAACUUUCACCAUAAAUUAUCUUUCGCAAGGUCAAAUUAUCUAUUAUAAAGUUGACGAGGGAUUUGACUGUAGCUUAGCUAUAGCCAAAUCUUUGCCCCUCAAUUUCACGCUAUUUACAACAAAGCCAUCAGAUUCGGGCAGAUAUUGGGGCUGGGUGCGUUUGAGACGGAUUGUGAUGGGUUUAGGUUUGUUGUCAUUCAGUGAGGGUUUCGGGGAUAGGAGGCCAUGCCUCCUCUAACACGCCGGAUGCGUAUUGGAGGUACAGCGACGACUGGCAACUGCGCCAUCGGCGAUGAAUAUAGCCGUCGGAAAGCGUCCUCGCUCCGAUUGCGGUAUGUUGGAUUCCUUGAAUUCCUUUUCUUUGGGUUUCCUCUCUCAUUUUUGCGUUUGUUUGGGGUGGGAUCUAGGUUUUCUCUGCAUUGCUUAAAUUUUGCAUUUUUUUUUUCUGGAUUUCAAUUAAGAAAUGAAUAAAUUCGGGGGUUUCUGAUUUCAUAUUUCGUUGUUUAUAUGCUGGAAUUACAGGACAAGGAGUUGGACCCUGGAUCGAACGACUUUCCGGGUUUACAAGAAUGAGCAUUGUCCUGAUACGUGACUUGAAGCCUCUUAGAAACGAUAUGAAGAUCAUAGUUGGAAUAUGCCGAAUUUGGAGAACAAAAAUGUUUUGACGUCAGAAUCAGUUCAAUACUUACAAGCGUAAUAAUGUAUGUUUGAUACAAGCGUUUUCGCUAUGGGUUUUUAGGUGUACUAUUUGUUUCAUUGAAUUCCUGUAUGUCCUGUAUGUUUGGGAAAAUUGGAAAUGAAUGUCGGGAACGGUUCAAUCUCCACAUCAACUAAUUCAGCUCAAUCUCUUUCAAACAUUGUUUGGAGUCGUUCAAUUGCAUGUCGUAGUUAUUUCUGAGGGUGGAGAAAUUUUUGAAUUAAUCUGUGAAUUUGUGGAGUGGAAUGAAACCAUAGGCUUUUGUAAUACAAUUGGAAAUGAAAAUUAUUUUAAUUAUGUAAUAUGAUGAUCUCUUAAUUUGCUUUUGCAGAUCUUCUUUGGUUCCUGUGCUAGCUCUCUUGUGUCUCCAUCUCCAAAUAAUGAUAUCCAAUGUGUCAAUCUAAUCUUUUUUGUGUAUGGAUAGGCAAAAGUUUUACAUUUUUUGAAUUUCAAUUUGAAGUUAGCUUUUUUUUUUCUUUUUUUCUUUUGUUUUUUUUUUUUUUGGGUUAACGUUAGUUGGGACGAUGAGCCUAGAACUGCAUUAGUUCCUUUACUGAAUGGAACAAUACAAUUAGUAGAUAGUAAUUCAUAUAAUAAUUUUAAAUAUCUAGAUAAUUGAUGUUUCGUUUUUUAAUUGUAAUUUUGGUUUAAUUUGCCAUUUUAUGGUGUUUUGUUUAAAUGCAUAUUACAAUCAAUGAUAUUGAUAUUGGUUUAUUCUCUAUAAUCACUUUCUUGGUUGUCUAUAAGCUUUGGAUAGAAAAGAAUUAAGUGAAAAUGCAUUGAUUUUGGUUUUAUUUUUCCUGAUUUCUUUAACAUGUGUAUGGAAACAUAGUUUUAUGUCUCAUAUCCAUUUUCGCACUGGUUUACGGGUGCAGGUUGAAACUGUGGCUCAGUUUGGGCUUCGAGUUGUUCAAGCGGUUGCUGUUCCUGGAGGGCUACCACAAAUCUUCCUAUUUAUGUGCCUGUGUAGCAUUACCACAUCACUCUCAUUCGGAUCCUGACACUUGCUCAUCAUUAAAAUCAUUUUUUUAUGCUGUUCUUUUCCAAGCACAGUUGCAGAUCCACAAGGCAUCAAGAUUAAUUUGGCUCCUGUUAAACAGAUCGGACGUCAGAAGAGUGGAACCAGUGGUGUUUGAAAAAGGAUUUUCGACUUCCUCUGGAGAAAAACAUGGCCAAAUGAACGAAUGUUGGAGUAAUUCUAGUUGGAGGAUGUUCGUGAGUCAGUUAGCUUGAUCGUAUAAAAAUAUCAUAUUUUUCUACCAAGCGAUGAUUUUCUGGCAAUAAAAUAAAGGAUGGAAUAGUGACGUUUUGGGCUUGAAUUGUGUUUUUGGAGUCCACGAUGACCUCGGAUGGUUUCGUGGCCUUCUUGAGAUGUGUUUGGAACGUUCUGAUCUUUAAAGCAAGCUAUCUUGGGCCAAAUUUGAAGGAGAUUUGAGGUUAAAACGUGACUGGACAGUUUCUGUACAGAGUCUCCUAGAUUAUUAAGGACGCUAUUUUCUAAGUUAUUUUAUUUUAUUGUUUAGUUUCCUAAUUGGAGAAAAAGACUAGGGGUUUGUGCGAUAGCUAGAAGGAAUUUUAAGGCUUUUGGCCAUUCUUAGAUUUUUUUUUCUACGCUUUCUUUUAUGCAACUUUGGAAACAGAGAGUAAUUGCUAAGGUUUUUGAAGAUUUUCUAUUUUAAGG